GGCCUGCCCACUGAGUUAUUAAAGGGCCGCGGUAUUUGGACCGUGCUAAGGUAGCAUAAUCAAUAGUCUUUUAAUUGGAGUCUAGAAUGAAAGGUCGGAUGGAGUAUAAUUUGUCUGCGAGUAUAAAAGUUGAACUUUACUUUUAAGUGAGAAGGCUUAAAUUAGUUAGUGGGACGAUAAGACCCUGUGAAGCUUUAUAUUUGUUUAACUUUAAUUUUUAAUAUUUGUGUGUUUAAAUUUAAAAUUAACAGAUAUUGUGUUGGGGCGACCAGAAUAUAUUUUUAACUGUUCUUGUUUGGUAAAUAAAUGAUUUUUAGAGAGUUGAUCCUUUAUUAAGGAUUAUAAGAUUUAAGUUACUCCAGGGAUAACAGCGUAAUUCUUUUUGAGAGUUCUUAUCGACAAAAGUAUUUGCGACCUCGAUGUUGAAUUAAGGUUUCAUUAAGAUGCAGGUGUCUUAA
rnacentral:rRNA from 1 species